UGGCUACAUAUCUGUCUGAGGAACAAUAGCUACCUGUAUUCUGCACGGGCUGCUGGGCAGGCACUAGCAAGCAGGAGAAGGUCUGCCUCCGCUAGAGCCUCGCUAGUGGGAAUCCCUACUGACAGCCCUGCUUCGCACUGGGGAGGGGGGAAGCAGAACCUUGUCUGCUCGUUGACAAGGGACAGAGCUUUGAUCGCUCUUCUCCAGCCCUGACUUGGCCCGAGGUUUAGAUCCCCAGUCCCGAAGUCCACGGGCUCUCCUCACUCCUGCACGCACCCACUCGCACACACCCCUUUGCCGACAGAUCCGUGUCACGGCUGUAACUGAGGCACACAGCAAUAAACAUAGCAGAACCAAUCUCCAUGGUGGCAAGAGGGGGCACUGGAGGUGACAACAAUGGAGAAGGAUCUUUCUGCUGACAAGUUUUAGGAUUUGCUGACAGAGCCCCAAAGAUGCCAGAGAUCAUCCUCAUCUCGCCGUGCGCUCUCUCCACAGAUGGCUGGGGCUCAUGGAGCCAUCACUGCCCCUCCAAUGCAGCCUGCACUUCAAGGGGCUUCACUCCAAGUGCCGCAGGCCUCCAGGCUGAGACACAGGUGAAAGCUCCUCGUGCGAAACUUCCACUUGCCUGUGUGGUGAAGCCUGGGGUCGUUGAUUGUUGUGUGAUAGAGAAACUGGAAAAACUUUCAUGCGGAACUGGAGAGGGAUCCUUGAGUGAUGCUUCUUUGGUCAACUAAGUAUGAUAAUUUUGGUCAUAUUGUGCAGGAAUCCUUUGAUAUUUUUCUGCAAACACAGUCUUUGUAAAGUGGAGGGAAAAAAAAACCAAAAUAGAAGGCAGUAAUUUCUGAGAAAUUGAAAUAUUUUUCCUUUUGAGCUUGCUAGGAUUUAUUUAAAAAGAACACACCAUCAUGCAGAAUGAACUUGAACAUCCAGAAGAUUAGAGUAUCCAUGCUGUUCUGGUAGCUUUGAAAACUUUAGUGACAUAUAACACAGCCAUGUAUUCCUUAUCACAAGAAUUUGCAACAUUUGUUUUGGAAUUAGUCUCAAAAAAUGAGUAAUGUUAGGCUUUGUUUUACUGUGACAAAGGUAGUUAGGAGUGUAUGUAAGAAUAAUUUCCAUAAUGAAGCAUUAAAAGACCUUGAUGUUGUACAAUGCAAUUACAUCUGCUGCAAUAAAAUGUAUUAUUUCUCUGUUAUAAUAAAUAUU
rnacentral:lncRNA from 1 species